GACGAACGCUGGCGGCGUGCUUAACACAUGCAAGUCGAACGGAAAGGCCCUGCUUUUGUGGGGUGCUCGAGUGGCGAACGGGUGAGUAACACGUGAGUAACCUGCCCUUGACUUUGGGAUAACUUCAGGAAACUGGGGCUAAUACCGGAUAGGAGCUCCUGCUGCAUGGUGGGGGUUGGAAAGUUUCGGCGGUUGGGGAUGGACUCGCGGCUUAUCAGCUUGUUGGUGGGGUAGUGGCUUACCAAGGCUUUGACGGGUAGCCGGCCUGAGAGGGUGACCGGCCACAAUGGGACUGAGAUACGGACCAGAGUGCUACGGGAGGCAACAGUGGGGAAUAUUGCACAAUGGGCGGGAGCCUGAUGCAGCAACGCGGCGUGCGGGAUGACGGCCUUCGGGGUGUAAACAGCUGUCGCCUGUGACGAAGCGUGAGUGACGGUAAUGGGUAAAGAAGCACCGGCUAACUACGUG
rnacentral:rRNA from 1 species